rnacentral:rRNA from 1 species
UACAGAGGUGGCAAGCGUUGUUCGGAAUUACUGGGCGUAAAGGGCGCGUAGGCGGCCUUCUAAGUCAGACGUGAAAUCCCCCGGCUUAACCUGGGAACUGCGUCUGAUACUGGGAGGCUUGAGUAUGGGAGAGGGAUGUAGAAUUCCACGUGUAGCAGUGAAAUGCGUAGAUAUGUGGAGGAAUACCGAUGGCGAAGGCAGCCCCCUGGGUCAAGACUGACGCUCAUGCACGAAAGCGUGGGGAGCAAACAGG